rnacentral:rRNA from 1 species
UACGUAGGGGGGCAAGCGUUGUCCGGAUUUACUGGGCGUAAAGAGCGUGUAGGCGGCCAAGCAGGUCCGUUGUGAAAACUCGGGGCUUAACCCCGGGCCUGCAGUGGGUACGGGCAGACUAGAGUGCGGUAGGGGAGACUGGAAUUCCUGGUGUAGCGGUGAAAUGCGCAGAUAUCAGGAGGAACACCGGUGGCGAAGGCGGGUCUCUGGGCCGUAACUGACGCUGAGGAGCGAAAGCAUGGGGAGCGAACAGG